rnacentral:rRNA from 1 species
AGGGUUAACGCUGGCGGCGUGCCUAACACAUGCAAGUCGCACGAGAAAGGGGCUUCGGCUCUGAGUAAAGUGGCGCACGGGUGAGUAACACGUGAAUUAUCUACCUCCGAGUGGGGAAUAACUGAGAGAAAUCUUAGCUAAUACCGCAUAACACUUACGAGUCAAAGCAGCAAUGCGCUUGGAGAGGAGUUCGCGGCCGAUUAGUUAGUUGGCGGGGUAAUGGCCCACCAAGACGAUGAUCGGUA